rnacentral:piRNA from 1 species
UCCCAGGGUGUAGACUUGACUGCGAUGGGU